rnacentral:rRNA from 1 species
UACGUAGGGGGCAAGCGUUGUCCGGAAUCAUUGGGCGUAAAGAGCGUGUAGGCGGCCAGAUAAGUCCGCUGUGAAAUCUCGAGGCUCAACUUCGAGCUGUCGGUGGAAACUGUCUGGCUAGAGUCCGGAAGAGGAGAAUGGAAUUCCUGGUGUAGCGGUGAAAUGCGUAGAUAUCGGGAGGAACACCAGUGGCGAAGGCGGGCAUCUGGGCCAACACUGACGCUGAGGCGCGAAAGCUAGGGGAGCAAACAGGG